CAUACCAUUUGCAAAAGUAGACAACCCAAGGUAUUGCACGUGGGGUAUGUCCAUUCUUUCUUAGUAGCCACUUAGUCACAAACACUGGCCAAAUAUUAGUUUUUUUGGUUUUUUUCACACAAAAACAAAUAUGAAAGCUAGCUUUGGCCAGUAUUUGUGACUAAGUGGCUACUAAAAAAAAGACUAAACAUACCCUACUUUCAAUACCUUGGGUUGUCUACUUUUUCAAAUGGUAUG